rnacentral:rRNA from 1 species
UGAGGAAUAUUGCACAAUGGGGGCAACCCUGAUGCAGCAACGCCGCGCGAGUGAUGAGGCAGUUUAUCUGUGUAAAGCUCUGUUGGGUGGGACGAAAUGUUUGGUUUGUAGCCAGAUUUGACGGUACCACCUGAGGAAGCUCCGGCUAACUCCGUGCCAGCAGCCGCGGUAAUACGGGGGGAGCGAGCGUUGUCCGGAUUUAUUGGGCGUAAAGGGCAUGUAGGUGGUCUUUUAAGUCAGUUGUUAAAACUAUCGGCUUAACCGGUAAUUGCAGUUGAUACUGGAAGACUUGAAUCUGAGAGGGGAUAGUGGAAUAUCAAGUGUAGCGGUGGAAUGCGUAGAUAUUUGAUAGAACACCUGAGGUGAAGACGACUAUCUGGCUCAUGAUUGACACUGAGAUGCGAAAGUAUGGGGAGCAAACAGG